rnacentral:RNase_P_RNA from 1 species
GCGGUUUUGCGGAUGAUCGCCGCCAAAGGGGCCAAAGGUGUUAAAACCGGAGGUUCUGAGGGGGAGGAAAGUCCGGACUCCAAAGGGUAGCGCAAGGGGUAACGCCCCUCUGCAGUAAUGCAAGGAACAGUGGAACAGAGAGAAUGUCCAGGGCAUUGAGCCGGAGACCGGGAACGGGAGGCUUCGGGGAGCCGCUGGAGUGAAAACAGCCAAACUCUGCGCGGAGCAAGAUCAAAUAGGAAAGCACUAGUACCACGACCCGUGGGUAGCUUUCGGGUAAGAUCGCUUGAGGGGGACAGUAAUGGCCCUCCUAGAGGAAUGAUCAUCCAAGGUUAUCGGGAAACUUAUGGGACCUGGUGACUGGGACAGAAUCCGGCUUACAGCAAAACCACGUUC